rnacentral:rRNA from 1 species
UCGAGCGAGGACUUCGGUCCUAGCGGCGGACGGGUGAGUAACGCGUGGGAACGUGCCCUUCACUACGGAAUAGUCCCGGGAAACUGGGUUAAUACCGUAUACGCCCUUCGGGGGAAAGAAUUUCGGUGAAGGAUCGGCCCGCGUCUGAUUAGGUAGUUGGUGGGGUAACGGCCUACCAAGCCUACGAUCAGUAGCUGGUUUGAGAGGAUGAUCAGCCACACUGGGACUGAGACACGGCCCAGACUCCUACGGGAGGCAGCAGUGGGGAAUCUUAGACAAUGGGGGCAACCCUGAUCUAGCCAUGCCGCGUGAGUGACGAAGGCCCUAGGGUCGUAAAGCUCUUUCACCAGGGAAGAUAAUGACGGUACCUGGAGAAGAAACCCCGGCUAACUCCGUGCCAGCAGCCGCGGUAAUACGGAGGGGGUUAGCGUUGUUCGGAAUUACUGGGCGUAAAGCGCGCGUAGGCGGACUGUUAAGUCAGGGGUGAAAUCCCGGGGCUCAACCCCGGAACUGCCCUUGAUACUGGCAGUCUCGAGUUCGAGAGAGGUGAGUGGAACUCCGAGUGUAGAGGUGAAAUUCGUAGAUAUUCGGAAGAACACCCAGUGGCGAAGGCGGCUCACUGGCUCGAUACUGACGCUGAGGUGCGAAAGUGUGGGGAGCAAACAGGAUUAGAUACCCUGGUAGUCCACACCGUAGACGAUGAAUGCCAGACGUCGGGCAGCAUGCUUGUUCGGUGUCACACCUAACGGAUUAAGCAUUCCGCCUGGGGAGUACGGACGCAAUGUUAAAACUCAAAGGAUUUGACCGGGUGCCGCACAAGCGGUGGAGCAUGUGGUU